GACGAACGCUGGCGGCAUGCCUAAUACAUGCAAGUCGAACGCUGAAGCACUCUGCUUGCAGAGUGCGGAUGAGUGGCGAACGGGUGAGUAACACGUGGGAAAUCUGCCUAAAAGUGGGGGAUAACAUUCGGAAACGGAUGCUAAUACCGCAUACAUUCUUGAACCGCAUGGUUCUUGAAAGAAAGACGGCUCUGCUGUCGCUUUUAGAUGAUCCCGCGGCGUAUUAGUUAGUUGGUGGGUUAAAGGCCUACCAAGACCAUGAUACGUAGCCGACCUGAGAGGGUGAUCGGCCACACUGGGACUGAGACACGGCCCAGACUCCUACGGGAGGCAGCAGUAGGGAAUCUUCCACAAUGGGUGCAAACCUGAUGGAGCAAUGCCGCGUGAAUGAAGAAGGUCUUCGGAUCGUAAAGUUCUGUUAUUAGAGAAGAACAAGUCGAGGAGUAACUGUCUCGACUUUGACGGUACCUAACCAGAAAGACACGGCUAACUACGUG
rnacentral:rRNA from 1 species